GCUUAACACAUGCAAGUCGAACGAUGAUGCUCCAGCUUGCUGGGGUGGAUUAGUGGCGAACGGGUGAGUAACACGUGAGUAACCUGCCCUUCACUUUGGGAUAAGCCUUGGAAACGGGGUCUAAUACCGGGUAUACACAUACUGUCGCAUGGUGGUGUGUGGAAAGCUUUUGUGGUGAGGGAUGGACUCGCGGCCUAUCAGCUUGAUGGUGGGGUAGUGGCCUACCAUGGCUUUGACGGGUAGCCGGCCUGAGAGGGUGACCGGCCACACUGGGACUGAGACACGGCCCAGACUCCUACGGGAGGCAGCAGUGGGGAAUAUUGCACAAUGGGCGGAAGCCUGAUGCAGCGACGCCGCGUGGGGGAUGAAGGCUUUCGGGUCGUAAACUCCUUUCAGCAGGGACGAAGCUUUUGUGACGGUACCUGCAGAAGAAGCACCGGCUAACUACGUGCCAGCAGCCGCGGUAAUACGUAGGGUGCGAGCGUUGUCCGGAAUUAUUGGGCGUAAAGAGCUUGUAGGCGGUUUGUCGCGUCUGCCGUGAAAGCCCAGGGCUUAACCCUGGGUCUGCGGUGGGUACGGGCAGACUAGAGUGUGGUAGGGGAGACUGGAAUUCCUGGUGUAGCGGUGAAAUGCGCAGAUAUCAGGAGGAACACCGAUGGCGAAGGCAGGUCUCUGGGCCACUACUGACGCUGAGAAGCGAAAGCAUGGGGAGCAAACAGGAUUAGAUACCCUGGUAGUCCAUGCCGUAAACGUUGGGAACUAGGUGUGGGCCUCAUUCC
rnacentral:rRNA from 1 species